rnacentral:rRNA from 1 species
AUGCUCUUACUGUUGACAUUGCUGCUUCUCUGCAACAACAGAGUCCGCAUUGUCCAUGGCUCAACGAUCCAUGAGAAUAGCAGCGUCGUCGAUCUGCACGCGCUGCUCGACUUCAAGCAAGGCAUCACCGACGAUCCACGAGGGGCCUUGAGCAGCUGGAGCAACACCACCCACUUCUGUCGAUGGCGUGGUGAAAAGUGCACCACAACACGUCCAUUUCGCGUCUCACGGCUUGUCCUCGCCGGCCUGGAUUUAGCAAGACAAAUCACCUCCUCUCUUGGAAACAUGACCUUCCUUCGGGCGCUAGACCUUUCAUCUAAUAACUUGGUUGGCCCCAUACCUAUCCUUGGCCAUCUCCAACAUCUGCACACACUUUACCUGUAC